rnacentral:rRNA from 1 species
GAUGACGCUGGCGGCAGGCCUAACACAUGCAAGUCGAACGAGUGGCGGACGGGUGAGUAAUGUCUGGGAAACUGACUGAUGGAGGGGGCUCACUACUGGAAACGGUAGCUAAUACCGCAUACCAUCGGAUGUGCCAAGAUGGGAUUAGCUAGUAGGUGGGGUAACGGCUCACCUAGGCGACGAUCUCUAUCUGGUCUGAGAGGAUGACCAGCCACACUGGAACUGAGACACGGUCCAGACUCCUACGGGAGGCAGCAGUGGGGAAUAUUGCACAAUGGGCGCAAGCCUGAUGCAGCCAUGCCGCGUGUAUGAAGAAGGCCUUCGGGUUGUAAAGUACUUUCAGCGGGGAGGCGUUACCCGCAGAAGAAGCACCGGCUAACUCCGUGCCAGCAGCCGCGGUAAUUC